rnacentral:rRNA from 1 species
AGAGUUUGAUCAUGGCUCAGGAUAAACGCUGGCGGCGUGCCUAAUGCAUGCAAGUCGCACGGAGCCGCUUUCGGGCGGUUGAGUGGCGAACGGGUGAGGAACACGUGGACAACCUGCCCCGGCGUGGGGAAUAACCAUCAGAAAUGGUGGGUAAUACCGCGUACGGUCGGUGAGUGGAUGCUUGCCGAAGAAAGCCGCAAGGCGCGCUGGGAGGGGUCUGCGGCCGAUUAGCUAGUUGGUGGGGUAACGGCCUACCAAGGCGGUGAUCGGUAGCGGGUCUGAGAGGAUGAUCCGCCACACGGGGACUGAGACACGGCCCCGACUCCUACGGGAGGCAGCAGCAAGGAGUUUUCCGCAAUGGGGGCAACCCUGACGGAGCAACGCCGCGUGAAGGAUGACGCCUCUUGGGGUGUAAACUUCUUUUGCCGGGGAGGAGAACGGACAGUACCCGGCGAAUAAGGACCGGCUAACUACGUGCCAGCAGCCGCGGUAAUUC